rnacentral:rRNA from 1 species
AACGAACGCUGGCGGCAGGCCUAACACAUGCAAGUCGAGCGAAGCCUUCGGGCUUAGCGGCGGACGGGUGAGUAACGAGUGGGAACGUGCCCUUUGGUACGGAAUAGCCCCGGGAAGCUGGGAGUAAUACCGUAUGUGGUCGAGAGACGAAAGAUUUAUCGCCAAAGGAUCGGCCCGCGUUGGAUUAGGUAGUUGGUGGGGUAAUGGCCUACCAAGCCGACGAUCCAUAGCUGGUUUGAGAGGAUGAUCAGCCACACUGGGACUGAGACACGGCCCAGACUCCUACGGGAGGCAGCAGUGGGGAAUCUUAGACAAUGGGGGAAACCCUGAUCUAGCCAUGCCGCGUGAUCGAUGAAGGCCUUAGGGUUGUAAAGAUCUUUCAGUGGGGAAGAUAAUGACUGUACCCACAGAAGAAGCCCCGGCUAACUCCGUGCCAGCAGCCGCGGUAAUAC